CACAGAUCUGUCUGGCUCAAGUGUAGCAGUCGCAGUCUUUUACUAUGUUUGCCUACUUAGCACCACUGAGUGAUGCUUGUUAGGGGCUCCUCCUUUGGGCUGAGGCUGAGUGAGUCCAAUCUGGUGAAUUUCUUCUGGCUUAGUACAAAAGAAACAUCUCCUAUCUGA
rnacentral:lncRNA from 1 species